GACGAACGCUGGCGGCGUGCUUAACACAUGCAAGUCGAACGGAAAGGCCCUGCUUUUGUGGGGUGCUCGAGUGGCGAACGGGUGAGUAACACGUGAGUAACCUGCCCUUGACUUUGGGAUAACUUCAGGAAACUGGGGCUAAUACCGGAUAGGAGCUCCUGCUGCAUGGUGGGGGUUGGAAAGUUUCGGCGGUUGGGGAUGGACUCGCGGCUUAUCAGCUUGUUGGUGGGGUAGUGGCUUACCAAGGCUUUGACGGGUAGCCGGCCUGAGAGGGUGACCGGCCACAUUGGGACUGGGGUACGGGCCAGACUCCUACGGGAGGCAGCAGGGGGGAAUAUUGCACAAUGGGCGGAAGCCUGAUGCAGCAACGCCGCGGGCGGGAUGACGGCCUUCGGGGUGGAAACCGCUUUCGCCUGUGACGAAGCGUGAGUGACGGUAAUGGGGAAAGAAGCACCGGCUAACUACGUG
rnacentral:rRNA from 1 species